CUAGGGGCUUCAAGGCAAAGAGUCCUUUCUCCGGUGGGGUAAGGUGGGGAAGUCUCCCACUUACUGGAAAACACAGUACUCACUCUGAGCAUUGUCUUUUUUGAAAUUUACCCAGCCACGUGCUGUCCAUUCCCUUACGCAGUGGAAACUCUCCUUGCAUUUACUCCCAAGUAAUCACCUCGGCCUUGUCACAUCCCUUUAGAUUCCAGAUUGAAAAUUGAACAGAGCAUUUCAAAAUUAAAAAGUUUUGAAAAUCCAGGUGGGGAAAAUGGAUCUGACUAAACAGGAGAGAAAUUUCUUCCUCUUCCCCUAUUCUACGUGCUUCUGUGGAUAUAGAAAGGGGCACCCCC
rnacentral:lncRNA from 1 species